rnacentral:rRNA from 1 species
UACGGGGGGAGCAAGCGUUGUUCGGAUUUACUGGGCGUAAAGGGCGCGUAGGCGGUCAGCACAAGUCAGUUGUGAAAUCUCCGGGCUUAACUCGGAAAGGUCAACUGAUACUGUGUGACUAGAGUGCAGAAGGGGCAACUGGAAUUCUCGGUGUAGCGGUGAAAUGCGUAGAUAUCGAGAGGAACACCUGCGGCGAAGGCGGGUUGCUGGGCUGACACUGACGCUGAUGCGCGAAAGCCAGGGGAGCGAACGGG